rnacentral:rRNA from 1 species
GGUUUAAGCGUGUAGGUGUGUGUUCCAGGUAAAUCCGGUUCACUUUAACACUGAGGCGUGACGACGAGGCACUACGGUGCUGAAGCAACAAAUGCCCUGCUUCCAGGAAAAGCCUCUAAGCAUCAGGUAACAUCAAAUCGUACCCCAAACCGACACAGGUGGUCAGGUAGAGAAUACCAAGGCGCUUGAGAGAACUCGGGUGAAGGAACUAGGCAAAAUGGUGCCGUAACUUCGGGAGAAGGCACGCUGACACGUAGGUGAAGUGAUUUACUCAUGGAGCUGAAGUCAGUCGAAGAUACCAGCUGGCUGCAACUGUUUAUUAAAAACACAGCACUGUGCAAACACGAAAGUGGACGUAUACGGUGUGACGCCUGCCCGGUGCCGGAAGGUUAAUUGAUGGGGUCAGCGCAAGCGAAGCUCCUGAACGAAGCCCCGGUAAACGGCGGCCGUAACUAUAACGGUCCUAAGGUAGCGAAAUUCCUUGUCGGGUAAGUUCCGACCUGCACGAAUGGCGUAAUGAUGGCCAGGCUGUCUCCACCCGAGACUCAGUGAAAUUGAACUCGCUGUGAAGAUGCAGUGUACCCGCGGCAAGACGGAAAGACCCCGUGAACCUUUACUAUAGCUUGACACUGAACAUUGAGCCUUGAUGUGUAGGAUAGGUGGGAGGCUUUGAAGUGUGGACGCCAGUCUGCAUGGAGCCGACCUUGAAAUACCACCCUUUAAUGUUUGAUGUUCUAACGUGGACCCGUUACCCGGGUUGCGGACAGUGUCUGGUGGGUAGUUUGACUGGGGCGGUCUCCUCCUAAAGAGUAACGGAGGAGCACGAAGGUUGGCUAAUCCUGGUCGGACAUCAGGAGGUUAGUGCAAUGGCAUAAGCCAGCUUGACUGCGAGCGUGACGGCGCGAGCAGGUGCGAAAGCAGGUCAUAGUGAUCCGGUGGUUCUGAAUGGAAGGGCCAUCGCUCAACGGAUAAAAGGUACUCCGGGGAUAACAGGCUGAUACCGCCCAAGAGUUCAUAUCGACGGCGGUGUUUGGCACCUCGAUGUCGGCUCAUCACAUCCUGGGGCUGAAGUAGGUCCCAAGGGUAUGGCUGUUCGCCAUUUAAAGUGGUACGCGAGCUGGGUUUAGAACGUCGUGAGACAGUUCGGUCCCUAUCUGCCGUGGGCGCUGGAGAACUGAGGGGGGCUGCUCCUAGUACGAGAGGACCGGAGUGGACGCAUCACUGGUGUUCGGGUUGUCAUGCCAAUGGCACUGCCCGGUAGCUAAAUGCGGAAGAGAUAAGUGCUGAAAGCAUCUAAGCACGAAACUUGCCCCGAGAUGAGUUCUCCCUGAGACUUUAGGUCUCCUGAAGGAACGUUGAAGACGACGACGUUGAUAGGCCGGGUGUGUAAGCGCAGCGAUGCGUUGAGCUAACCGGUACUAAUGAACCGUGAGGCUUAACCUUACAACGCCG